rnacentral:rRNA from 1 species
UACGUAGGGUGCGAGCGUUGUCCGGAAUUACUGGGCGUAAAGAGCUCGUAGGUGGUUUGUCGCGUUGUUCGUGAAAACCUGAGGCUUAACCUUGGGCGUGCGGGCGAUACGGGCAGACUAGAGGUAUGCAGGGGAGAACGGAAUUCCUGGUGUAGCGGUGGAAUGCGCAGAUAUCAGGAGGAACACCGGUGGCGAAGGCGGUUCUCUGGGCAUUACCUGACGCUGAGGAGCGAAAGCAUGGGGAGCGAACAGG